UUUUUAAUGCAGACCUUCUCAGAGACUUCAGCAUGCUAAAGUACACCUCGAGAGAUUUGCUAAAAUUAUUUGGCCAUGGAAAUCUCCCUUUUUGGAGCAGCUUAUAGUACUAGUGUUACAUGGAGCACAAAUUUUAAAACACUGCAUUAAGCCAUUAUAUUCUGGAUUAACUGGUCAGAUUUGCCAACCAACUCUCCUCUAUCAGAGAAUUCUAAGAAAGUUGGUUAGAAAAUACUUAAUAUGCAAACUGUGAAACUGGCAAGUUUGAAACAGAGCCAUUUAGGGGGAGGCCAAAGGCCGCAGAGGCACCAUCUACCUGAGUAAAUGCCUGGAAAACUUGGCAGAUACCUCAGGGGUACUGGAGAGGGGGUGCUGGAAAGGGGGUACUGGAAAGGGGGUACUGGGAGGGGGCGUAAUACUGCGAAACUUGAUCCACUUGACUCUGUGGGCACCAAGCCUGCUUGCCCUCAUCCAGGCCAAAGAGACAAGAGGGUGGUUCGAAUCAUACCCCCUAAUGCCUGGGGAUGGUGUCUGACCCCCAGAACCUUAGGCAAACACCUUGGGUCUCAGAGACAUGAAGAAUCCCGACGUGGCUCCUGCAACGCUGACAGCCCAGUGCUGUGACGCUGCACAUCAUUCUGAGCACUUUGAAAUUCUCCAGGUAAUUCAAUAUGCAGACAAAAUCGAGGGCCAUACUUUUGAGGAAGGAACUGACUUGAUUAAGCAGAAUUUAAACUGUGACAGCUGGUGAAAGAUGUAUUUAGCUAUUGCAGUCAUCUAAGCCCUAGGCGAUCAAGGCAAAAAGGACGGUGGAAAUAGAAAACGAGAGAUGGAGACGAGACGUAUUUUAGAGGAAGAAUCCAUUGGGGGGGGGCUUAAAAAUAACCCAGAUUUAGAGAAGGAUGAAAGAACACCGAAAAGCACAGGAAGUGACAGGAGGGGUGGGCAGGUCCUGGGUUUGGAGAGAAGAGAGUAGAGUUGACACGUGGAGCUGUGGUUUUUAGAAUGACGUCCAGGAGGCACGUGGCCAAGGGGACUGGGUCUUAGAGGGAAGACUGGAAACUUUGAGGUCGUUUGUGCCCAGGUGAUGUGGGAAGCCUUCGGAGUUUAAAGAUGGUCUUUCCUACAUGGUGACACUCUUCAGGUUGGCACACAUUUGUAACUGCUGAGAGUCAGUGUGAAAGACUCA
rnacentral:lncRNA from 1 species